rnacentral:rRNA from 1 species
UACGGAGGGUGCGAGCGUUGUCCGGAAUCAUUGGGCGUAAAGGGCGCGUAGGUGGCGGCUUAAGCGUGCGGUGAAAGCUCGGGGCUCAACCCCGAGUCGGCCGUGCGAACUGAGUCGCUUGAGCACUGUAGAGGCAGGCGGAAUUCCGGGUGUAGCGGUGGAAUGCGUAGAGAUCCGGAAGAACACCGGUGGCGAAGGCGGUUAGCUGGGCAGUUGCUGACACUGAGGCGCGAAAGCGUGGGGAGCAAACAGG